ensembl:lncRNA
AGAGUAACCUUACUGAGCAUGGACAAUAGAGUUGGAGAAAUGUCUUUAGGCUUAGUUAUGAUCAGAAAUAUCUACGUAUUCUGUGUAUAUUUGUAUAAUCACAUAUUAAUAACAAAACUUUUUUUUAUUUGCACACACACAUACACACACACACUUCCUAGACCAAGCAGUUCAGUGAUGAAGAAUUGGAACCACCAAAACCUGAAGAAAGGGAACCAGCAACUCAGGAUCCUGCACCUGCUCAGGAGGGAGAGGAUGAGGGAGCAUCUGCAGGUCAAGUACUGGCCCAAGAAUAGACCCAGUUCAGAAGAGCAGGAGCAACUCUAAAAACCAAGUUGCUGAAUGCUGGCCACCGUUUCCAUUGAUUGUUAUUUUUAUAUGGUAAGUUUAUUAAAAACUGGAUAAAUCAGGAUACUGCCAUACAAGUAGCUGGUUUAGUAUGAUUUUCUAAGUGGGUUUAGGAUGUGAUUCGAUCCUGUUAUGAUUAGAAAAACCACAAAAAGAAUUAUCCUUCCUGAGAUUAACAUGAGAUAGAAAUAAUUUCUCCUAGAUAAAAUAGUUUGAAACAAAUCAUUUAUGUAAUCCAGGUCAUGGAUUAUUCUAGGGAUUCACUGUUAAAACUUUCUAGAAUAUGACUGACAACAAUGCCCAUUAAUUGCUGUCCACCCAAUCCCUUAUUCUCGGUGCAGGGCAGUAUAUUUGCUGUGAUUCACAAACCGUGUCAUUUUGGUGCUUUGUUCUACAUGUGGUUCAUUUAUGGAAUAUUACAUUUAGGACCUUUGGUCCUAAAUAUAACUUUAUUUGAAGAAAUUUACAUUUCUCUUUACACCAAUAGGUAAUGGAUGUCAUGAAUGAAAGAUUUUUCAUAGUCCUCAAAUCCAUUCAGCUAAUGAAUCCUCAGAAAUUUAAACGUAAUUAUAACUGAAUUCCUAUCCAUGUUGCAGACUUCAGAUUUCUUAGCUGAUGCCCACUGCUUUUAGUACUCUAUGGCUGAAUAUAGGCAUUGUACAAGUCCUGUGGUUUAUCCUUAGAUUGUCAUUUGAGAGAAAGGUCUCAACCUGGGCUGAAUGCCAUGCACACAUAGUCCCAGCUAAUUGGGAGGCUGAGGUGAGAGGAUUGCUUGAGCCCAGGAGUUCAAGCCCAGCCUGGGAAACAUAGCAAGACCUCAUUGCUAACAAAUAAAGAAAUACAUAAAGGUUUCAUGAUAUAGAAAAACAAACAUAGGAAGUUUGUUUCUAGUUGCUGGUAAUGUUGCAAAUGCAGCUCCUUCCUGAACUGUAACACUUAAAAAUAGUUAAGACGGUAAAUUUUAUGCUGUGUGUGUGUUUUUUUUUUUUUACCACAACAACAAACAAAAAAACUCCUGUCUACCCAAAUUCAGUGUAGUUGUCAUAUAGUCCCCUAAAUUUUCAUUCAUAUAUUUUCAAGACAUAACAUUUGUAGAAAAUUUGCAGUUAUACUACAAUUAACUCAUAUACUUUUCGCCUAGAUUCACCAAUUGUUAAUAGCUUUUGCUGCAUUGGUUUGAUAAAUCUACCCUUCCUGUCUUACCUUGCUGCCCACAGACUCACACACACAUUCAUGGAUAUUAUAUUUAUUGUUAUUAAUGGUGGAUUGUUUAGAUAAAGCUUCAGGUAUUAUGACCCUUUUCUCUAUGUACUUGAGUGUGUGUAUAUCAU